AGUGGUGAAAGCCCAUCGCUCAACGGUGGAACGGCCAUUGAUACUGCUGAACUUGAAUUAUUAGGAAGUAACUAGAAUAUGUAGUGUAGCGGGUGAAAUGCUUAGAGAUUACAUGGAAUACCAAUUGCGAAGGCAGGUUACUACUAAUGGAUUGACGCUGAUGGACGAAAGCGUGGGUAGCGAACAGGAUUAGAUACCCUGGUAGUCCACGCCGUAAACGAUGGAUACUAGCUGUUGGAAGCAAUUUCAGUGGCUAAGCGAAAGUGAUAAGUAUCCCACCUGGGGAGUACGUUCGCAAGAAUGAAACUCAAAGGAAUUGACGGGGGCCCGCACAAGCGGUGGAGCAUGUGGUUUAAUUCGAUGAUACGCGAGGAACCUUACCAAGGCUUAAAUGUAGAUUGACCGGUUUGGAAACAGAUCUUUCGCAAGACAAUUUACAAGGUGCUUGCAUUGGUUGUCCGUCAGCUCGUGCCGUGAGGUGUCGGGUUAAGUCCUAUAACGAGCGCACCCCUGUUGGUAGUUGCCAGCGAGUAUGUCGGGACU
rnacentral:rRNA from 1 species